rnacentral:rRNA from 1 species
GGUAGCGCCUCGUGAAUUCAUCUCCGGGGGUAGAGCACUGUUUCGGCUAGGGGGCCAUCCCGGCUUACCAACCCGAUGCAAACUGCGAAUACCGGAGAAUGUUAUCACGGGAGACACACGGCGGGUGCUAACGUCCGUCGUGAAGAGGGAAACAACCCAGACCGCCAGCUAAGGUCCCAAAGUCAUGGUUAAGUGGGAAACGAUGUGGGAAGGCCCAGACAGCCAGGAUGUUGGCUUAGAAGCAGCCAUCAUUUAAAGAAAGCGUAAUAGCUCACUGGUCGAGUCGGCCUGCGCGGAAGAUGUAACGGGGCUAAACCAUGCACCGAAGCUGCGGCAGCGACACUGUGUGUUGUUGGGUAGGGGAGCGUUCUGUAAGCCUGUGAAGGUGUGUCGUGAGGCAUGCUGGAGGUAUCAGAAGUGCGAAUGCUGACAUAAGUAACGAUAAAGCGGGUGAAAAGCCCGCUCGCCGGAAGACCAAGGGUUCCUGUCCAACGUUAAUCGGGGCAGGGUGAGUCGACCCCUAAGGCGAGGCCGAAAGGCGUAGUCGAUGGGAAACGGGUUAAUAUUCCCGUACUUGGUGUUACUGCGAAGGGGGGACGGAGAAGGCUAUGUUGGCCGGG